GGGAGAUGAAAUCACUGCUGAAGAAUUGUCCUUCAAUGACUCACUUAAAGAUGUGCAAGACAUGUCCCUUAGGCUCUCGGUUGAUGGGGACAAAUCUUCACUAAAUGGAUCCCUCGAUCCUGUCACUGCAUCCAGUGGUGACCCUGAGCUGCAAGACCAAGUGAAACGAGUCCUAAGCAAGAUAAAGAAGCCGGAAACAAACUCAAAAGACACUGAAGGAGGGAAGCUUGAAAAUGUGGCAAGCAAGUAUCCAAUUUUGAGGAGGCGGCGUAGGUUGAUUGUUGUAGCACUUGAUUGCUAUGACAGCGAGGGGGUCCCUGAGAAGAAGAUUGUGCAAAUUGUACAAGAUAUACUUCAGGCUGUUCGACUAGAUAUUCAAACUGCAAGAGUCACAGGGCUUGCUAUAUCGACAGCUAUGCCAGUCUCAGAAACAAUAGAGUUCUUGAAAUCAGCAAAGGUUCAAGUAAACGAUUUUGAUGCUCUGAUCUGUAGCAGUGGCAGUGAAGUGUAUUACCCUGGAACUUACACAGAAGAAGAUGGAAAACUUUUUCCAGAUCCUGAUUAUGCAUCUCAUAUUGAUUAUCGUUGGGGCUACGAGGGUCUAAAGAAGACAAUUUGGAAGUUGAUGACCCCUGAAGAAGAAGAAAACUCUAAUCUUUAUCCUAGUCCCAUUGAGGAAGAUGUAAAAUCAAGCAAUGCCCACUGUGUUGCAUACUUUGUAAAGGAUCCCAGUAAGGUAGAUAUAUCAAUUUGACUGUUGCUAACAAAAGAAAUAAUUUCAUUUCUUGUUUGUUUUAAUAGUGGCUUUGCUAUUGCAGGCAAAGAGAGUGGACGAUUUGAGGCAGAAGCUCAGGAUGCGGGGUCUUCGUUGCCAUCCAAUGUAUUGCAGGAACUCAACUAGGAUGCAAGUCGUUCCUCUCCUUGCAUCUCGAGCACAGGCACUCAGGUACUGUUCUGUACAGCUAUACAAACUGAUACUUUUAUUUAGAUGGGACUUUGAUUAUUAGACAGGAACUGAAACACCCAUGGUGUUUAAAUGUUUUAAAGGUCCUUUUGUUUAGUGCGUUAACCUUUUUUUCCCCUUAAUAUGGUUGGGAAGGAGGGAUUUGAGCUUGUAAUUUCCUCCUUAAGGGAGGAAUGGCCACUGAUUAAUGUUACGUUAGCUGCUUUUUAUGUCACCCUGGGUUUUGAAAGGGGAGUUUCAGCAACUUCAAUCAAGAAUGUUUUUUGUUAUGUUUCAUGACCAAAAGCACAGGACUAAAGGCUUGGGAUCUGUUUUAUGAGAAUUUUUCAAGUGGUUUUUUGCCAGUCAUCAAUGUCAUCUGUUUUAUUUGUGGAGGAAAGGUGGGUUUCAUAUUUCAUAAGAUCUUCUUUUAAAGGACUCUGUAUCAACCAUCAAAGGUCAAUCUGGAGAUUUGAAGCAUGUACAAUGAGUCCAUGUUGAUAUCAAGAUAGUUCAUUGCAUGUAUAGCAUGCUCUGAGCUAGCAAGAAGCUCUCUUCUUAUAAAGUUUUCAUGCAAUGGGAAAAUUAAUUUAUGUUCAACAUUUUCUUUGUAGAUUUUGUUAAAUUGACUUCUUGUUCAUUUAACUACUCACUUUCAUUCUCCUUUACAUUGUCCUCACUCAUUGUAUUGAGACUCGGUUAUCAUCCCUUUUGGUUCAUGGUUUGAUCAUUUCAUUUCAUUAACCUGAUGCUUUCAAUAAUUAGGUACCUUUUUGUGCGUUGGAGAUUGAAUGUUGCAAACAUGUUUGUGAUUGCUGGUGAAAGUGG
rnacentral:lncRNA from 1 species